rnacentral:rRNA from 1 species
GAUGAACGCUGGCGGCGUGCCUAAUACAUGCAAGUCGAGCGAACAGACGAGGAGCUUGCUUCUCAGACGUUAGCGGCGGAGGGGUGAAUAACACGGGGAUAACCUAGUUAUAAGACUGGGAUAACGGCGGGAAACCGGAGAAAGAAAGGGAAAACAUAUUGAAAUGAAUGGUUCAAUGGUGAAAGACGGAAUUGCUGUAUCGUACAGAUACCACCGCGCCUCAUUAGCUAGUUGGUAAGGUAAGGGCUUACGAAGGCAACGAUCCGUAGCCGACCUGAGAGGGUGAUCACCCACACUGGAACUGGGACACGGCCCAGACUCCUACGGGAGGCAGCAGUAGGGAAUCUUCCGCAUUGGGCGAAAGCCUGCCGGACCAACGCCGCGUGAGUGAUGAAGGUCUUCGGAUCGUAAACCUCUGUUAUUAGGGAAGAACAAAUGUGUAAUUAACUAUGCACGUCUUGACGGUACCUUAUCAGAAAGCCACGGCUAACUACGUG